GGAACUCUGGAGAAUCUCAGAAAUGGGUGCCGAAGGUGCAAGGUGUGAAAACGCCGAAACUCUCAGGCAAAAGGACAGAGGAU
rnacentral:ncRNA from 1 species